AGGUAGUUAGUGGUUUAAGUUUACGUACGUGCUAACGCGAAGAACCUUACCUGGUCUUGACAUCCCGGAGACCCUUAGGAAACUAGGGGGUGCUUCCAUCUGGAAGAAUCUGGAGACAGGUGCUGCAUGGCUGUCGUCAGCUCGUGUCGUGAGAUGUUGGGUUAAGUCCCGCAACGAGCGCAACCCUUGCCUUUAGUUGCCAGCAGUUCGGCUGGGCACUCUAAAGGGACUGCCGGUGUUAAACCGGAGGAAGGUGGGGAUGACGUCAAGUCCUCAUGGCCUUUAUGACCAGGGCUACACACGUACUACAAUGGCCGAUACAAAGGGCAGCGACACUGCGAGGUGAAGCCAAUCCCGUAAAAUCGGUCUCAGUCCGGAUUGGAGUCUGCAACUCGACUCCAUGAAGUUGGAAUCGCUAGUAAUCGUGGAUCAGCAUGCCACGGUGAAUACGUUCCCGGGCCUU
rnacentral:rRNA from 1 species